rnacentral:lncRNA from 1 species
AAGACAAGGUGAGGUACUUAUGCGGUGUUGGUGCUCUUAGGGAGAGGCUUUGUCUGCCAUAUGUCAGAGAGGACUUGGGAAGAGCACGAGGCAGGCUCCAAGCUAACCAUGAGCCGAGAUUGUUCCAAUGGCUCCUAUGCCAUUACUAAUAAGAAAUUUGUUUUUUCAGGAGACUGGCACCAGUAAAACAUAAGCUUCUGGCUUUUACUUUAAAGGAAAGAUGCCAGCUUCUCAGCUCAUCCUUUAAUUGCCUUCUACGUAAUAGGAGAGGUUGUUAGUAUAGAGAACAAGCCAGAACAGGGAUAGGGAAGCCAACCGCUCUCGAUUCCGACCAUGGAAAGUUCACUGGGAGGCGUGGUUUGAAUCCAACCAGAGGAUGCAGGAGACUGGAGAAGAUUUCCCUUUCGCUUCAGGCCCACAGCAAAGUACAUUGCCCUCUUUCCUUUGCGAAGCAACCACCGAGCACUUCUCAGAGAAAUGCCACAAAGAUGCCUCAGCCUCGAACAAGAGUCCUUCGCCACGGCCUGGUUUCCUUCAGCCCCGAGAUACCAGAGUAAAGAGGGGAAUACGGAGAAGUCUGUCCUGGGAUGCAGGACACAUAGGCCUUGAGCCUGAGAGUUGCUGAGGCCUCAGCACAGAGUGCCAGAGUAUUCCGUAGCUGCACAUCUUUCACCAGACAGCCAGGUGGCAUUCAGGCGAAUGCAAGUGUGGCGUGACAAAAGGACUCAGGAUUGGGACACCGACGUCCGGGGCCCUGGAACUGUGCAGCGGCAUUGUGGUCCCCAUGCCCUCAGCCUCGGAACCACAGUGCACACAGACCAGCCUUCCAAAUGCCUGAAUCUCUACACUGCGUUGCUUUGCCGGAGGGAGUUCUCUGGAUAUCUCCCCGUGACAGACCGAAGCACCUGAGAAUGAGUAUCUCCCCCCACUUCUGUGGUGGUCUUCAACCCCAAACCAUCAGGAACUGGGGUCUGCAGCUCCCUUCUCCCUCAGGUGCAGGAACUCCAAGGUAAGUGUUGAGUUUCUCCUGGGGUGACAGUCCAGUUACCCAGCUGAUACCUGCUCACGGCCUCGCCUGUCAUUAGCUGCCUCUCCUCUUUCGCCCUUGUCCACUCUCUUCCUGGUGUUUCCUCAGCUCAUCCCCCAAAGAAUGAAAUCCUGUGUCAAGGCCUGAUUCUGGUCUUCUUCGAAGACACAGUGGCUGACCUGGUCGGCCUAAAGCCGUUUGAUUCUAGGGAAGCUGUUUAACUUCUCUGAGAGUCGCUGUUCUCAAAUGUAAAGCACGGAAGGGAUUUUAAAGC